rnacentral:lncRNA from 1 species
UAAAACUCGAUCCCCAAAUCCCCCCGAUUCACAAAACAAAAACCAAAUCCCUAAACGUAGGUAGGCGACGGCGACAGUGGAAUUCUUUGGUUGCUAACCGGCGACGAGCAGUUGAAUGAGAGUAGGGGGCCAGGGCGCGGCGGGAGUACUCGCGCAGCGGUGUGAACUCUUUCUCUGCUCCCCCUUCUCCUCUGCUGCUAGGCGAGAUGGGUGGCGCCGGCGUUCCAAAGCGCGACGACGAGGAAUGGAAGCAGACGGCGGUGUACAACUGGGGAUCAAAGAGAAGCGCUCAGGUGAUGGUUCCCCAUUCUUGUGAAUCAUGUAUGCAUGUGUGUUGUGUUAUUUGCUUAGAAAGAUUUGAUUUUUAGGAUGAGGAGAUGCCGGGAUUGGACUUGAGAAGGAGGCUGAGAAGCAUGCUGAUAAAGAGAAGCACAAGAUGGAGAAGAAGGUCAUUGCUAGGAUCAACAAGGAGCAAAUUAUAUGCAGAGAUAGGAUGCUACUGUUUGUAAUCAGUAUGUGUGCUAGCUUGUGUGUCAUCCUGUUUGAAGUAGCAGGAAAGUAGUAGAAGUGGGAUGAUGUUUGCAGUACGAGGAAAUGAGUUUGUAUUAUGAACAUGAUCUAUGUGUAAAUGGCAAAUGAUAUGUUUGUGCGUUUAUUUGGAAUUUGGCUUAUAACAAUCACAUUUUCAGUUGCAUUUUAAUGUUUG